rnacentral:rRNA from 1 species
ACCUUUCAAGCGAGUGGCGAACGGGUGAGUAACACGUGGAUAACCUGCCUCAAGGCUGGGGAUAACAUUUGGAAACAGAUGCUAAUACCGAAUAAAACUUAGUAUCGCAUGAUACAAAGUUGAAAGGCGCUACGGCGUCACCUAGAGAUGGGUCCGCGGUGCAUUAGUUAGUUGGUGGGGUAAAGGCCUACCAAGACAAUGAUGCAUAGCCGAGUUGAGAGACUGAUCGGCCACAUUGGGACUGAGACACGGCCCAAACUCCUACGGGAGGCUGCAGUAGGGAAUCUUCCACAAUGGGCGAAAGCCUGAUGGAGCAACGCCGCGUGUGUGAUGAAGGCUUUAGGGUCGUAAAGCACUGUUGUAUGGGAAGAAAUGCUAGAAUAGGGAAUGAUUCUAGUUCGACGGUACCAUACCAGAAAGGGACGGCUAAAUACGUGCCAGCAGCCGCGGUAAUACGUAUGUCCCGAGCGUUAUCCGGAUUUAUUGGGCGUAAAGCGAGCGCAGACGGUUGAUUAAGUCUGAUGUGAAAGCCCGGAGCUCAACUCCGGAAUGGCAUUGGAAACUGGUUAACUUGAGUGUUGUAGAGGUAAGUGGAACUCCAUGUGUAGCGGUGGAAUGCGUAGAUAUAUGGAAGAACACCAGUGGCGAAGGCGGCUUACUGGACAACAACUGACGUUGAGGCUCGAAAGUGUGGGUAGCAAACAGGAUUAGAUACCCUGGUAGUCCACACCGUAAACGAUGAAUACUAGGUGUUAGGAGGUUUCCGCCUCUUAGUGCCGAAGCUAACGCAUUAAGUAUUCCGCCUGGGGAGUACGACCGCAAGGUUGAAACUCAAGGAAUUGACGGGGACCCGCACAAGCGGUGGAGCAUGUGGUUUAAUUCGAAGCAACGCGAAGAACUUACCAGGUCUUGACAUCCUU